CUUCGGCGGUUUUCUAAACUCGUGAGUCACUCAGCUACUAGAGGGCACUGUUUACAGAUAACAAGAUGGCGUCCCGCGGAUCAGUUUGUGCUGCAUCAUUUUGUAGUAAUUUCCGAAGAAAAAUUCCAAAUGUUUCAUUUUUUCGAUUUCCAAGAUAUCCCAAAAGAUGUUCUGCUUGUGUUAGAUUCGUCCAACGAAAGGACUUAGAAGAAAAAUCCCCAACAGACAGUUGUAUGAAAAAAACAAAUUCAGCCAACCAACAGGAAACAGUAAAGCUAAAAUUCUUAGACAUAUGUAGAUAAAUUUUUAUACUAUUAUUCAGUGAAGUUAAUUCAAUAUUGGGUGACUUCAAGGAAAAAAUUAUAAGACAUUAUUUAUAUUUGUUUACAGUUACUUAUAUUGUGUUGGCAAAUUAUUACAUUUUAAAGGAAGUUAUUU
rnacentral:lncRNA from 1 species